rnacentral:rRNA from 1 species
UCGGGAAUUUUGGGCAAUGGGGGGAAACCCUGACCCAGCAACGCCGCGUGAAGGAUGAAGUAUUUCGGUAUGUAAACUUCGAAAGAAUAGGAAGAAUAAAUGACGGUACUAUUUAUAAGGUCCGGCUAACUACGUGCCAGCAGCCGCGGUAAUACGUAGGGACCAAGCGUUGUUCGGAUUUACUGGGCGUAAAGGGCGCGUAGGCGGCAUGACAAGUCACUUGUGAAAUCUCUGGGCUUAACCCAGAACGGCCAAGUGAUACUGUCGCGCUAGAGUGCAGAAGGGGCAAUCGGAAUUCUUGGUGUAGCGGUGAAAUGCGUAGAUAUCAAGAGGAACACCUGAGGUGAAGACGGGUUGCUGGGCUGACACUGACGCUGAGGCGCGAAAGCCAGGGGAGCAAACGGGAUUAGAUACCCCAGUAGUCCUGAGCGGGCUGGCAAGGCGCAU